rnacentral:tRNA from 1 species
GGGCGAUUGGCACAGUUGGUUAGCGCGAAUGCUUCACAUGCAUUAGGUCACAGGUUCAAAUCCUGUAUCGCCCA